rnacentral:rRNA from 1 species
AGCCCCAAUAGCGUAUAUUAAAGUUGUUGCGGUUAAAAAGCCCGUAGUUGGAUUUCGAUCGGGAACUGGUGGGUCGGUCUUGGUCUUUGGAUGUGCAUCUCCAUAGGUCUUGGUCUCCUCUCGAAAAACGUUUCUGCGCUUGAUUGCGUGGUGCGGUGUUCGGGACUUUUACUUUGGGGAAAUUAGAGUGUUCACGGCAGGCAUAGGCCUUGAAUAUAUUAGCAUGGAAUAAUAAUAUAGGAUCUUGGUUCUAUUUUGUUGGUUUCUAGAGCUAAGAUAAUGAUUAAUAGGGACAAUUGGGGGCAUUCGUAUUGACGAGUCAGAGGUGAAAUUCUUGGAUUUCGUCACGACGAACUACUGCGAAAGCAUUUGCCAAGGAUGUUUUCA